CUAUUGCCCAAUUUACACAUGCGAGUCUCCGCACACCUGUGAGUAUGCCCUUAAACCCCGCCAGGGCAAGAGGAGCGGACAUCAGGCACGCCAGUCAGCCCAAGACGUCUAGUUAAACCACACCCCCACGGGCGCACAGCAGUGAUUAAUAUUAAAAAUAAGCGACAGCUUGAUUUAAUUAGGGCAAAGUAGGGCCGGCUAAUCUGGUGCCAGCCGCCGCGGUUAUACCAGAGGCCCAAGUUGACUUUUUCGGCGUAAAGCGUGGUUAAAGGCCCCCCAAAAACUAGGGUCAAACUAAAACUAAGCCGUAAAAACCUUAUUAUUAGGAAGCACAAGAACGAAAGUCGCCCUAACCCCACCCACUUGAACCCACGACAGCUGGGGCACAAACUGGGAUUAGAUACCCCACUAUGCCCAGCCGUAAACUUUUUAUUUACA
rnacentral:rRNA from 1 species